ensembl:lncRNA
AACACAAAAAGGUACAUUAAUAGAAUGUAAUAUUAUCAUGUCAUAAGAAAUGGCAAUUAUGAAGACUUUAGAGCAAUUGGAAAGGAUUAUAUGAACCAACAUAGAGCAAAUGAAGCAGAAAUGUGAGAAGUUCUAUCAUGACCACAAUAAUGUAAAGCAAAACACUUUUGAAAGGCUUCAAGAUCUAAGAACUUUGAUCAAUAUAGUGAAAAACCAUGACUUCAAAGGAUGAAUAGCGAAGCUUAAAUAAUGGUGUCUGACAGAGCAAUGAUGGUCCAGAGAAGCUGAAUAAGGCAUACGUUUCUGGAUAUGCCACUGUGUAUAUCAUCAACAGAAACUCUACAAUCAUAUCUGAUAUCUUCAGAAUUGAGGACAAGAGAAGAGCAGACUGCUUUUCAUGCCAGGAAUGACAGUCCUGUUAUCAGAGACCUGGUUAAACAAAUCCUGCAGACCUUAUUUCUGCCAGCAAAAAAUUCCUCUGAAUUCCCCACUACAUAAGGAAGGACAGUUCUGAUAGACUGGUCCUGAACUGGUCCUGAAAGCUGGCUUGCCAAAUUAAGUUCUUCAACAGAGUUAUCUCCCUUCUUAGAUAAGGAUGGUUCCCUUGGAAAGAGGAAUCAAGGAAAUGGGAUCAAGGAAGUUUGGAACUAACACCUCUAGGAUCCCAGCUACAGAUACUUGAACAAGGAAGAGCAGGGGACAGAAGAGGAAGAGCAGGAAGAAGAGAAAGAGCAUACUGAUGAAGCCCUUUUACAAAUUAUACCACUGAAGAGAGUUUGCUGAGAAGGCCCUUUCUCUGUGCCAACCUCUUGGGAAACCAUCAGUCUACUAUGAAAAAAUUCUACACUCAGCACUCUUCUUGAGAAACUAAAGAGACAAAGAUGAUUCUCCUAAUGGACAAAUUCUAAGAGACAUUAUUCCAUGUGGUAGUGAGUGAAGAUAUAAAAAGGAGAAGUUAGAAGUUGUUGUCAUGGCCCAUGGUUCAAUAUUCAGACUUAUUCUUCCAUAUACUUAUUUAUUGACACCAACCUAGGGAGAAAGACAUGUUUGCACAUCUGUUUGGAUGCAAACAUGUAAGUUCAUUAGUUAUCAACACCUUUGACCUUUGGAUUCCUUUCAUGGGAAUGAAAUUUCAUUUCAAAUAACUGGUGGGGGAAGAAAGAGAAUGGGGAAGAAGUAUAAGUGAGAAAGAAGAAAGAAGAGGAAGCCCUUUGUCCCUAUAGCAAAAGUGUUUAAUAGGAAAAUACCUGGGCCCUCCCUCUCUUUUUAAGUUUCCUUCAAACCUCGCCCAUUACUAGACUCUUCCACUGAGUUAACUGAUAAGGUGCAUAACUGUAUAACCCUAGUUAGUUGGGGGCAGAUGUUUUGAUUACAAUGUUUCCCAGGGCUUAUGCAACUUUGUCCUCUCUUGGUUGAAGAGAACUGAAGAGUGGGUACGCUAACCAAAAAGAAUAACUUAAUUGAUGGCAUCCAUAUUAUUGUCAUAUGCAUACCCAUUAACAAAAUUAAAUCUCAGAACAAUUUCUGAAUCAUAUCUAACACAUAUUAAAGGUCUGAACCAAUUCUAAGAUUCCAUAAUUCAAUGAAAAAAAUUAUGUAAAGCCUCAAAGUGCAUUGAGUGGUUGACCCUUUUGAGCUCAUGACCAACCCAUUCAAUUGAUGUGUGAAAAUUUUUAAAUUUAUAAUAGAUAAGAGAUUAAGCAGGGACAUGUGAUUGAUUUAUUGUUUGAGAAAUGGCAAAAGCUAAGUCUUGGAAAGGUACCAGAGUUACUUUGGGAAUAGCUAAUGGAACUUCUCCCAUAAUGGGACCAUCACAGUAUCACUACUUCAUGAGUUGCUAACAUUCUGUGGUCCUUGGUGGAAUAGUCUUACAGUACUAGGAGAUGGAAAAUACCACAAGCCUUUAAUCACCAGAGUCAAGAAAGUUAGGUGGCCACUCUAGACAGAAUGAGGAACAUGAAGUCAGGGAGAUAUAAGUUCAGAUCUUGCCUUGAACACUAGUCUUAUUAUCCUGGGAAAAUCAUUUCUCCUCUGUCUGCCUCCAUUGGGGGUGACAAUAAGAGUAAGUAUCUCCAAGGGUUGUUGGGAGAAGAAAAUGAGAUAAUAUUUCUAAAGUGUUUCACAAAUCCUAAAGCACUAUGUAAAUUCUAGCUAUUAUACCUGCAUCCUUUCUUUGGCUCUGGCUUCAAAGGCUAUAUAGGUGGUGUCACUUUCUAAGUAGGCAAGAACUUGGCUUUCCCUUGAAGAAACCAUUUGUUACCACACAAAGAUCAAAGAAUGAGUGCUGAGGACUAGAAAAAGCCACUAUUGGAUUUAGUAAUUAAGAAUAAACUGAAGAAGCUUAUUUGUUUAAAAAAAUCC